CAACAAACCGCGACAGGAAAAGUAAAAGGUGGCUGUUGCCCAGAGAAUCAACGUUGGUGUGAGUUGAUGAACGAAAACCUUUGAAAAAUGGUCCUCGAGUUUUGUAUAGGUGAGCGUGAAUGCUAGCUUGUACCGGGUGCGCCCGUUAUCGCGUUAGGGUAUCUCUUUUUGACGUACCCAUCGAGUGAUUAGUAGUGAUGCUAAUUAGAAUCAGGGUGGUAACACGAUUUAGUCGUCCCGUAG
rnacentral:ncRNA from 1 species